GUGCUCACUUCAGCAGCACAUGUACUAAAAUUGGAAUGACACAAAGAAGAUGAGCAUGGCCUCUUUACAAGGAUGACAUGUAAAUCCUUGAAGUCUUCCAUGUUUUU
rnacentral:snRNA from 1 species